GUUUCUCUUUUGGUUGGAAGUGAGAACACAAUUUUAAGUUAAUCAGAACUGGCACAUUGCCUAUAAAUUCUAAAAGCACCCAGUUUUUGUCUAUGCUGGUGGUUUUUGCAGAAAAUCUUUUUGGAUUCCACUAGGCUGAUCGCAAAACACACAGAUAAUCUACUUGAUGAGCUUUGGAAUUACAUAAAAGAUGGAAAGCUUGCUGAGACAGCCGUUUUGCUACUGGCAGCCCAAGAGCAGAUCCGCAUGGGAACUUCCUGUAAGAAAAUUGGAAAUAGUAAGGCAGAUGGGUUUCAGGUUAUCUACAAAUGUAUUAUGGACAACAGUAUCAAAUUACAGUCUGAAAAGGGCCAAAACCUAAUGGAAAAGGAGGAAUUGGAGACUAAAAUAAAGCUUCGUCAUACAGCAAUGAUGCUUGUUCAUGUAAUUUCCAAAGCUGGUGAAGGUCUUGAAUCAUACAUUCGAAACCAUCUAGAGGUAUCACAGUGUUGGUAGUUGCAGUUACAAUGCCUCUAUUUUCUUCGCUUUACUAAAAUUUGCAUAGCUUCUUGGUUAUUCCUGCAUUAUCCUGAUAUAUAUAGAAUAGGAAAUGCUAAAAAUACUGUCAAUUAUUGAGAUAAAUAGCAAAAUUUGUACUCUAUCUAGAACAUUUAAGUUUCUGGAACUUGAUGUUUCUGAAGUUUAGUUCAGUUUACACAAAUUUUGGAUAAGCAAUGACACUCACCAUUUGGAACCUGUCAAGGUUUUUGUGUUCAGUUAGAUAACAUGAAAACUAUAUUUCACCUUUGGGAAAUCUAAACUAAACAAUCGAGG
rnacentral:lncRNA from 1 species